UGAUGGCGACCGGCGCACGGGUGAGUAACACGUAUCCAACCUGCCGAUAACUCGGGGAUAGCCUUUCGAAAGAAAGAUUAAUACCCGAUGGCAUAAUAGAACCGCAUGGUUUGAUUAUUAAAGAAUUUCGGUUAUCGAUGGGGAUGCGUUCCAUUAGGCAGUUGGUGGGGUAACGGCCCACCAAACCUUCGAUGGAUAGGGGUUCUGAGAGGAAGGUCCCCCACAUUGGAACUGAGACACGGUCCAA
rnacentral:rRNA from 1 species